CCUUCGUCCUCAGCAAAAACCGCCGCCGCAUUUCAAUCUCUGCCGCAUUGUGACCGCCGCCCAAUCCUCCUUCAUUGUGACCACCGCCGCGUUUCAAUCUCCUACCGUCUCCAUCUCGGCAAUUGAAUCUCUGCCGCAUUAGAAUCUCCGCCUCCAACAGCGCGAUUUCGACCACCGCCGCACCUCCGACGACGCGAUUUCAACCGCCGCCUUUUGACGACGACUCUGGAGCAACAUUCACGGCCGGAGCUUCUCUCAUUCUGCUGCCUCUGACACACUACUGCUCAGCUACCACAACAAACCACCCGAUAAGUUUUUGCUCACUUCCACCUUCUCAAUCAAUCUCCACCGUUCGUUUCCCUUCCUCAAACGCAAUUCUCGCUUCUUCGUCCGUUGCUGCGCUACCAAUUCUCCGUCGGAACCGCCUUCAGAGGAUCAAUUGCCUCCAUCUUCAGGAUUUUGGAAGAUAAUCUACAUGAAGGAAAUCUGCCAGAAAACCUUGGAAGUUUGAGUAAUUUGAGGCUACAGGGAAAUCAAGACAUUUUUGGAUUCAUCGAAUUUGUGUCUCCUGAGGUCGCGAAAGUUGUUGAAGAAUGCAUGCAUAACUAUCUAAUGUACGAGCACCUACUGCAAGUUAGCUUUGUUCAUCCUGAGAAAGUCCAUCCAAGAUUGUGAGUACAUCCUUAACCUAUCAACAAUCCAG